rnacentral:lncRNA from 1 species
CGAGGGAACAAAACCUUGCGAAUCCACGCUGACUGAUGCCACGAGGGAACAAAACCUUGCGAAUCCACGCUGACUGAUGCCACAAGGGAACAAAACCUUGCUGAAUCCACGCUGAUUAAUGCCACGAGGUAACAAAACCUUGCUGAAUCCACGCUGACUGAUGCCACGAGGGAACAAAACCUUGCUGAAUCCACGCUGACAGUAGCGAACACCCACGGGUGUGCAUUUUCACGUACAUGCCUAUCGACAGAAGCAGCCAUGGCAGCAGCGCACACGGAGGAGGCACGGCGUGGCCCCAAGGGAAGCUGCCUCCUCCUUGCUGACCUGGUGAAGUGGGUCCUGCUGGCAUCAGCUGACCUGGCGGCUCCUCUCAGGCAGGAAUCAGGUGGGCGCAAGACUCUGCGGGCAGCCACUAGGGCUGUGGCCGGCCGACACGGGCAGGCAUCAGCCUGACACUGCCUUGGCAGAGCCUGAGGACACAGACACCCCUCGGAGCAAAGCUGGUGGCACAGGCAGAGAAGGGUCUCCUGUCAGUGGCAGCUUCGGCCGGGGCCGGGGCCUGGGCUGUGACCAUACUCCCCUCCCCUGCAGCAGUGACUUUCUGGACCGAAACACAGCACCUCGGCAACCCUGAUCAGUGUCACUGUGUUUGUGUUCAGAGUCCUGAAUCCUGAUGUCAUCUACCCUAUUACCGCCCCUCCCAGCUAGGUCUGACACACAGGCUGUACCUGCUGUGCCCAGGUGGCCGACAACGUUGCUGACCAGGAAGUCAGGCGAAAGCCCAGCAGCAGCCGCCGGCCCCGGGCAGGGAAAGCAGCACACAGGCUCCCACCGGGUUACCCACGCUGCUGGAGCUGCUGGAGAGUGCUGUGCUUGACCGCCCGGCCUACACCUUCACUCAGGGUUGACAUGAGGUUCUUACAUCCGGCCGCUGUACAAACUGUAAAGUACCUGCCCAUUUCCAGGACUCAGCUCUUCUCUUCUUCCAUCCUCUUUUCUUUAUUUUUUAUUUUUUGAGACAGGGUCUCACUCUGUCACCCAGGCUGGAACGUAGUGCAACAGUCAGACUCACUGCAGCCACCACCUCCCAGGCUCCAGUGAGUUUCCCACCUCAGCCUCCCAAGUAAUUGGGACUACAGACGUG